rnacentral:rRNA from 1 species
UACGAAGGGGGCUAGCGUUGCUCGGAAUCACUGGGCGUAAAGCGCACGUAGGCGGAUUCCUAAGUCGGGGGUGAAAUCCUGGAGCUCAACUCCAGAACUGCCUUCGAUACUGGGAAUCUUGAGUCCGGAAGAGGUGAGUGGAACUGCGAGUGUAGAGGUGAAAUUCGUAGAUAUUCGCAAGAACACCAGUGGCGAAGGCGGCUCACUGGCCCGGUACUGACGCUGAGGUGCGAAAGCGUGGGGAGCAAACAGG